GAUGAACGCUGGCGGCGUGCCUAAUACAUGCAAGUCGAGCGAACAGACGAGGAGCUUGCUCCUCUGACGUUAGCGGCGGACGGGUGAGUAACACGUGGAUAACCUACCUAUAAGACUGGGAUAACUUCGGGAAACCGGAGCUAAUACCGGAUAAUAUAUUGAACCGCAUGGUUCAAUAGUAAAAGACGGUUUUGCUGUCACUUAUAGAUGGAUCCGCGCCGCAUUAGCUAGUUGGUAAGGUAACGGCUUACCAAGGCAACGAUGCGUAGCCGACCUGAGAGGGUGAUCGGCCACACUGGAACUGAGACACGGUCCAGACUCCUACGGGAGGCAGCAGUAGGGAAUCUUCCGCAAAGGGCGAAAGCUUGACGGAGCAACGCCGCGUGAGUGAUGAAGGUCUUCGGAUCGUAAAACUCUGUUAUUAGGGAAGAACAAAUGUGUAAGUAACUAUGCACGUCUUGACGGUACCUAAUCAGAAAGCCACGGCUAACUACGUG
rnacentral:rRNA from 1 species